AGAAAAAAGGAGUUUGCAAAUCUGAACUUUUAAAGUGAACCUUUAACUCUGUUAUUUCCUAUUGUCCUUAAAUUCAGUAGCGACAUCUUUGUCACUUUUAAUUCUUUUCAACAAUAGGGCUUCUUUCAAUGGCAUUGAGAAGAAAGCACUCCAUUUGGGCCUCGGCGCCUUGGCAACCUCUUUUAUAGAUUUUUGUAAAUUUUGAGGGGGAGGGCAGGUUCUUCCAGGAUAGUCAGCAUUGUGUUUGCAUGGCACUUAAAUUUUUAUAGUUGCUUUUCUUCUGAGUGAUUACAUAAAAGACACUGGGAGCCGCAGAGAAGCCAUUUGAUUGGCACUGUCUGCAGAGAAUAAGUAGUUUCUUGGGCUUUCAAAUUGUCUUGUGUGCUGAAGAUAAUUGCUGUGGUGGCUUCAGGUUGAGAGAACUGUGUGUCUCUCUGUGUUAGAACCUGUUUAGAUUCCUAAGUAGCACUGGAUUAUUGCAUAGUUUCCUUCUAAGACAUGAACAAAAAAUAAAUAAAACCCUCACAUAUUUUUGCAUGUGUGUGUAUUUAUACAAAAAUUCAACAUUCAUAGCCCUAAAAAGGUCUAGUGAACAUUCACAUACGUAAGAGUGAGUAGAUAAACAAAUAGAUAACAAUGUAGG